rnacentral:rRNA from 1 species
CACGUAGGGGGCAAGCGUUGUCCGGAUUUAUUGGGCGUAAAGAGCUCGUAGGCGGUUCGGUAAGUCGGGUGUGAAACCUCCAGGCUCAACCUGGAGACGCCACCCCGAUACUGCUGUGACUAGAGUCCGGUAGGGGGAGCGUGGAAUUCCAGGUGUAGCGGUGAAAUGCGUAGAUAUCUGGAGGAACACCGGUGGCGAAGGCGGCAUCCUGGACCGGCAUUGACGCUGAGGCGCGAAAGCUAGGGGAGCGAACGGG